GUCGAGGAUAUUUAGCAAUGGGGGAAACCCUGACUAUGUGACGCCGCGUGAGGGAUGAAGGCCUUCGGGUCGUAAACCUCUUUCGAUGGGGAAGAAUCCUUGCAUUAACAAUGCAAAUUGACGGUACCCAGAGAAGAAGCCACGGCCAACUCUGUGCCAGCAGCCGCGGUAAGACAGAGGUGGCGAGCGUUACUCGGAUUUAUUGGGUGUAAAGGGCAGGUAGGCGGCUGUGCAAGUUGGGGGUGAAAUCCUUGGGCUUAACCCAAGAACUGCCUUCAAAACUGCACGGCUUGAGGCUAGAAGAGGAAAGCGGAAUUCCCGGUGUAAGGGUGAAAUCUGUAGAUAUCGGGAGGAACACCAGUGGCGAAAGCGGCUUUCUGGUCUGGCCCUGACGCUGAUCUGCGAAAGCUUGGGGAGCAAACAGGAUUAGAUACCCCUGUAGUCC
rnacentral:rRNA from 1 species